UGGCUAAUCAGUCAUGGGCACCUGGUCUUUAUUCCUUGAUUUCUAAUGAUCAUUAAUAAACCUCAUAAAAUAUAUCUUUAUUAUUAAGAUUUAAUUUUAAAUUUUACAACCCUACCUAGUACUAGGUGAGAAGCCAUCAAGAUACUUGGAGAGCUCUACUCUUUUUUCUAAUUCAAAUAGUCAGAAAUUUUUGAAUUCUUUUAAUAGUUCACACCCUCAGAAACUGUGAACCUUUUGGAUGAGUAUUCACUCCUCCAGAAGGUGCGAAUUGGUUCCCACAAACACUGCCCCCUGGGCAUUAGUAGACAAUCUGGAAGCUGUGAUUGAUUGGCUUCUGUGAAGAGGGGAGGAGACAGGAAGCCACUAUAUGAAUUUUUGGGGUUAAGGAAGUUGGCUUCAAUAAGGAAGUCAGCUUAAGGAAGAAGUUCAGUUCAGGGGAAAUAGUUGGACUCAGAAGUCACCUUCGGCUCCAGUCCUUGUCUUGACUCUGCCUCUUGGAGGAAACGUGGCCUUCAUGCAGCCAGAGUGUGGGGAAAGUGCUCCCCUCCCACUUUCCUCAAAGGAAAUCAAUGGAGGGAGAACAACUUGAUGCAAAGAAGUGAAGAAAGAGGAAGAGAGAAGACCAGGUAAAACCAGAAGAUAUAAAGAUGUGGCAGCUAAAUGGAAAGACCCCUCACUUCUCCUUAGAAACAUCAAGGGGUCAAUGGAAAUGUCAUUAGCAUGACCCCCAAAUGAACAAGAAAUAUUUUAAUAGUUGAUUGGUUCUUCUGCAUUGUGUGUUCCUAUGAUGAAGAUAAAAGAUCAUAAUGAAGAUAAUUAGAGAUAUCUAUUGAAACAGAAAAAUUCAAAGAAAAUUUAAGAUUUUCACUAGCCAAAAUAUAAUUUCCUGAGCACUUAAGAAUUAGUGCUGGACUGUUGGUGGAGUUGUGAAUGAUCCAACCAUUCUGGAGGACAAUUUGGAACUGUAAAAGUUAAAAUUAAAUCUCAAUAAUAAGAAUAUUAUAUUUAGGAGAUUUAUUAGGGAUCAUUAGAAAUAAAGGAAUAAAAGGAAUACAAAAAUAAAAAAAAUGACCACAUGCCCAUGGCUGAUCAGCCAGUUCAGAUGCCCACCUUACCACAACCAAGGUCACGAUCAUCAAGCCAAAGAGUCAGGACCCUCCAUGUCCCUGCCUAAUAAACCCUGUCUAAAGGAAGUAUGUAACAACAGGAAGUCAGUGGGCUCCCUGGAAAUGUAGUUCUUUUGGGGGAGUAACAGAUUUUCAAUUUCAAUUCUCAGGGGGGAUAUAAUCCCCUGAGAUCUGUGGAAGACUAGCCUCUCCAAUGGAUCUUGUAAACAUAACCAACUUUGAAAUUACAAUAAUUUGAGGAUAAGAAGAAAAGUGAACAAAACCAAUGAUUACUAGGCAUAUUGAGAAAAAGUCAGUUAGAGAGCAGUCCCCUUAAGCAUAAGAGUAUGCAUACAAAACAAAUGCAUUCAACUUCACAUGGUUCAAAUCACCACAUCCCAAAGUUCACUCUAGAUCUUUUGGUGCAGCAUGUGGUCUGUGCAGGCUUUCACUUUCUGCAUUCGAAGAGGUAGUAUGUUUCUUAACCUAAAAUUACACUCAAAAGAAUUUAAAUUUUGCAUUUUAGAAUAAUAAUACUUCCUCCCCCCCCCCCCCCCGAAGAGGGUGUUGAAAAACACCGGGAUCACUUAGGAUUGCAUGGCUGAGUUGUGAGGUAUAAGAAUCAAUUGACAAGAGAAAUCAAAAACAUAAAAAAAAAAUCCAAAGAAAAAAGAAAAAAUAAUUUCUGGAUGAAAUGUAGACUCUCAAAGUCUUAUGUAUAAAAAUUUUAAGUAAAGGAAAAUAAACCUAUAACAGGUCCUUGAAUCAGGACCAAUUAAAGUCAUUUAUUUAAUUAUGUACUUUCCCAAUCAGCAGCCAGGACUACAGAAAAUUUUGCCACACAAUGAAAGAAGGAAUAGGGACUAGAUUAUAGGAGUCGGGUAGGAGCCAAAUUUGAGAUACUUGGUAGAAUGUAGGACAAUAGACAUAUGUCAAAAUAGCCACAAACUGGAACCCCAAACAAGUUCAAGCCCUUUUAUCUUGGCUCAAAAUUUCAUCAAUCCCUUUGAGAUUGGUUGGUGUCUUUGACCUUGUGCUCGAUUGGCACUGUAGUUUAGCUUUGUGCUUCUUUGGCACUGUGUAAUGGCUCUUUUUGUAUUCCCUUCUCCUGGAAUCAGACAAAAUCAUUAAGCAAAGUCUCAUAAUUUUUUUCAACAAUCAAUGGCAUCAUUUUUAUAGUUUAAGGCUUUUGGGGCAUGCAUUACUAUUAGAACAAAUGUAUUUUAAACUUAUAUUACUGCAAAAUUUAAAAAAUUAAAGAAAAAUCUUCUCAAUACUGUUGACAUGUGCUUCAAAUACAAAAAGGAGAGAAAAAAUAAAACUCAGAUACUAUAUUGCACAUGCAAGAAAAAACAAUAAUAAAAAAGAGUUUUAAAAAUAAAAAAAUAUAUAUAGCUUACAAUCAGUGACACACCGUGUCAGCCAAGGAAAGGUAGAAUACAAAGGUUUCUUACCAAAAAAAUGAGAUCCAUUUCCUUUUUAACUUAACCACUGUGUGAGUACAAAUGAUUUUCAGAAUAAAACAGUAAUAUAGUAGAUAAUGCACAUUCAAAGAAGUCCCCCAAAUUCACAAUAGCUCAGUUAAUUACAAUAGCAAAUAAACCCACUAUCAUAUUUCAAAUAAGUUGCUGUAUGUCAUAAAAUAAUCUACAAAGUGAUGGAUAUUUGUCGCAAUUUUUGACAGGUGUAGCAAAUCUUUCAACCUUGGCAAACAUAUUUUUAAACAAAGUAAAACAUAUUUCAGUCUAGAACAUCAUCAAGAAAUCUAGAUUCUUCUGGUGGAAGUAAAUUAAACUGAAGAGUUUUUGUGGGAGCUCUUUUUUGCCUUCCUGCCUCAUAUAAAUACCUUGGUUGGAACAUCUCUUUGAUUCUCUACCUUUAAUACACCAUUCUUUAUAAUAUAAAUAUAAAUGGAAAAUAUCAUCCAUUCAGAAACCACUAAUUAUCUAAAAUGGUUUCUGAAGACCCCUUAAAAUCAAUUUGAGAUAUUUAGCUCAUUAAAUUUUUCAAAAGUUGUUAGCCAGGUUAAGUCCAUCCAUCAUCUAUGUGACAAUUAACAAAUGCAAAAUGGAAAAAAAAAAACCUGUUUAUGGACUUUUAUAAUAUUUUACAAUAUUUUGUUCAGUAGUCAUAGGGGAAAGGUAAAAGAAUAUAUCUAAUAGUUAAAACAUCAUAUAUUAAACUGAUUCCAUGUAACAGAAUAGUAUUGAAUACAUUAAUAUAUAAACUUAAAACAUCAAAAUUAAAUCUUAAACCAAAUAAUCAGCAAAAUACAAUAAAAUACAGAGACUUUCAUAAAACAACAGAGUCUGAAAAGGCUUAAAAUCUUCACCUCCAGCCUCUUUAAAAUUCCUUUCUCUAUCUGUUUACAUUACUUUUUGUCAAGGCUCUGGGAUUUCCAAUAGUGAGGGGGAACAUGGGUUUGGGGAAUCUCAAACUGGAUGAACCCUAGAGCCUGGGCAGGCCCAAUUGGCAAAGGGUUGUAGGGAGAUGAAUUUCUCCCCUGAAUCUCAGGUAAGAUAAUUGAAAGAAUUAGUGCAUUCAUGAAUGGUAGAAAAAAUCCUAAAACUGAAAACUGUUUGAAAUAGGCAAGGUAUUGCUCUAUCAUAGAGUGAGCCAUGCUUGCAAUUUUACUUCCUGUUUGGAAGAGUAACUUCCUUCCCUUCCUCUUCCCCUCUGAGGUAAAACACUAGGGAACAGUUUGUUUACCUUUACACGUGGACAGGGACACCCUGGUUUUUACCAGCUGCUGCCCAAACAGUGGCUUCAAGUUUUUGAGUUCCAAAGAUACAGUGGCAGCUACCAUCAGGCCAGCAGGACCAACAACAGCUGUCGGGGUUGGGGGCCAGAUAUCAAGAGGAGGAUUCAGGAGUAGGAGCAGGAGCAGGAACAGGUAGUAGCAGCAGCAGCAGCACUGCCAGAGGCAGCAGUGAGGAACUGAGGAAUAUGGGCUUAAGCAGAUGGGCAAGAGAAGUGUUUAUCUCUUCUUCACCAAGAAUCCCCCAGCUAAAAAUAGUCCAGCUGGUAGGGAGGACAACUGGGCAAAAGGUGAGGAUGAUAGAAGUAAAGCAUCAGCUCUGAAGAGAGUUUGGACUUCUCUUGGAUUCUUUGACAAUGGGGGGGGAGGGGCAGAGUGAAAAGCCUUGGCAGGAGAAAUGUAGCUUUAAAAAAAUUAUCUAAGCUAUCUUAAAAAAUUGAGAAUUUCUUCUCCAACUAGUGGUUGCCAUCAAAUGUAAAAAUUAAAAUAAAUGUCUACAAUAAAAAUAUUAUAUUUUAGGAGAUUUAUUAUGGAUCAUUAGAAAUAAAGGAGUAAGAAGAAUACAAAAAAAAAAAAGCCAAAACCACAUGCCCAUGGCUGAUCAGUCAGUUCAGAUACCUGCCUUACCACCACCAAGCUCACUGUCACCAAGCCAAAGAGGUGGGACCCUUCACAUUCCCACCUAAUAUGCCCUGUCUACAGGAAGUAUAUAAUGGCAGGAAGUCAGUGGGCUCCUGGGAAAUGUAGUUCUUUUUUUUUUUAGGGUAACAGAUUUUCAAUUUUACAGAACUAUACCCAAAAGGCUUUAAAAGAAUGUCUACCCUUUGACCCAUCCAUGCCACUGUUGGGUUUGUACCCCAAAGAGAUAAUAAGGAAAAAGAUUUGUACAAAAAUAUUUAUAGCCAUGCUCUUUAUGGUGGCAAUAAAUUGGAAAAUGAAGGAGUGUCCAUUGAUUGGGGAAUGGCUGAACAAAUUAUAACAUAUUUGGUGAUGGAGUGUUAUUGUGUUGAAAGGAAUAAUUAAUUGGAGGAAUUCCACAUGAACUGGAACAACCUCCAGGAAUUGAUGCAGAGUAAAAGGAUCAGAACCAGGAGAAUGUUGUACCCAGAGGUGGAUACACUGUGGCACAAUCAAAUGUAAUUGACUUUGCUGCUAGUAGCAAUGCAAUGACCCACAACAAUCCAGAGGAACUUAUGAGAAUGAAUGCUAUUCACAUCCAGAGAAAGAACUGUGGAAACAGAAAUGCAGAAGAAAAACACAUGAUCAAUCAUGUAGUUUGAUAGGGAUAUUAUUAGGGUUUUAAUGUUAAAAGAUCACUCUACUGCAAAUAUGUAUAACAUGGAAAUAGGUUUUGAACAAUGAUAUAUGUUUAACCCAGUGGAACUGCUUGUCAGCUUUGGGAGGGGGGGAGAAAAGAAUAGGGAGGAAGCAUCAUGAAUCAUGUAACCAUGGAAAACAUUCUGAAUUUAAAACAUUUUUUUAAAUCUACCUAAACUAUUAAAAAAAAUCAGUGCUGAAAAAUAUGUAUAAUAAAGAUUGCAAUGCAUGCUAGAUGGGUAGAGCACAGGGAACCUAGUCUAUUCAAUUUACUUUUUGUUCUGAAUCAAAUACGGUAUGUUGCUAAGCCAGAAAAGAUAUUAGAAGUGUAAGCUUAUAUAAACCCUAAAUUUUUCUAUAAUUAUCUAUAAUAGAAGACUUUGAUCUCUGCCCACACAUAGUGGCCAAAAAGGCCCUUUGCCCAGCUUCUAUUAUCAGAGAGGAGUGGCUAUGACCUAAGAGCAGUCCACUGGCCAUUGUUCUCAGCAGAAUGAAGCUCAGUUGACUUGCCCUCAAGAGAUAAAUAAGCCUUGAAGAUAGUAGCAAGAAGCAACAUCCAGCAGAGAAAGACUGACGCUAGAGGAGUAAUGUGGCAGUGGAGUAUGUGGCAAGAAUUACUAUUUAAAUAAGCCCAGCAAAUACGUUGUACCCAGUGAGGUAUAGGACCCAUUGAGAGAUCAGGCAGCCUAUACAACCUCAGAGAUUUGACUUGUCUUUUCACUGUGAAGCUUCUUAUCCAUGACCCCUUUCAAUGUUCACUUUCCCCAUGGGGUAUAUUUUUCAGUAGAUUGUACCCUAUGUUUAUGACAGUAUGUUCAAUCAAAAAUCUUACUAUGCUUAUUAAAUAAAUGCCUUUGCU